GGUGUCACGCGCUGGAAAGGAGCUUGAUGUUUCACAAACACUACAGUAUUUGUUUUUAACAAUCCAGCAACAGUCCUCGCAAUUUGAAGCAGUAAAUGAGUUGGACCAGCACCAGCACUAAUCAGCCCAGUGACCAAUGCAGUCAUUGAUAUGGUGAACUGGUGUGUCUGGCUAAAUUGACACAACAAUGCUGCUGAUGCCACCUCCUGACAGGGAGAUUUAUGACACCGCCAUGACAGAUCCACAUCCGGAACCAGAAGGAGCCAACAUGUAUACCGAGGAGCCAGAUGUCACAGGGUCCUUCACUUCACCAACCGUGGAAACUCUGUUGA